rnacentral:rRNA from 1 species
GCCCUGCCGUAAACUUAGAUACUUCCCCACAACAAGUAUCCGCCUGGGCACUACGAGCGCCAGCUUAAAACCCAAAGGACUUGGCGGUGCUUCAGACCCCCCUAGAGGAGCCUGUUCUAGAACCGAUAACCCCCGUUCAACCUCACUACUCCUUGCUUUUCCCGCCUAUAUACCGCCGUCGCCAGCUUACCCUGUGAAGGAGUCACAGUAAGCAGGAUGGGCAAUGCCCAGAACGUCAGGUCGAGGUGUAGCGUACGGAGUAGGAAGAAAUGGGCUACAUUAUCUGAAGCAGAUUAAAUAACGAAGAGUCACCUGAAACCGGUGACUUGAAGGUGGAUUUAGCAGUAAGGGGAGAAUAGAGCGCCCCCCUGAAGCCGGCUCUGAAGCGCGCACACACCGCCCGUCACUCUCCCCGACAACAUCUAUAUAUAGUAUAUAACACAGCAAAAGCUAUAAGGGGAGGCAAGUCGUAACAUGGUAAGUGUACCGGAAGGUGCACUUGGAAUAAC